CUGAUAUGGCUCAGUUGGUAGAGCGCACCCUUGGUAAGGGUGAGGUCCCCAGUUCGACUCUGGGUAUCAGG
rnacentral:tRNA from 1 species